rnacentral:rRNA from 1 species
UACGUAGGGUGCAAGCGUUGUCCGGAAUUAUUGGGCGUAAAGAGCUCGUAGGCGGUCUGUCGCGUCGAAUGUGAAAAUCCGAGGCUCAACCUCGGACCUGCAUUCGAUACGGGCAGACUAGAGUUCGGUAGGGGAGUCUGGAAUUCCUGGUGUAGCGGUGAAAUGACGCAGAUAUCAGGAGGAACACCGGUGGCGAAGGCGGGACUCUGGGCCGAUACUGACGCUGGAGGAGCGAAAGCGUGGGGAGCAAACAGG